UUGUGCAAGUGCAUCAUUCAUUCAAUUUCAUUUCAUUAAGUCAUGUUUCAUCCAAAAUCCAUGAUUCAUUCAAAGUCCAUUUCCAUUUCAAAAGAAUAACAAUCCAUUACAAUACAUCAAAGUCAUUACAAAUCAUUUCAUACAAAAAAAAAUACAUUUUUUGCCUAAGUUGACUUCUGGUCAAUUGUUGACUUUUUUGUCAACCAGUUGACCAAAGUCAACUGACUAAUUCUACUUAUUCUAAACCCUAUUUCUUGCAUUGCUUCUCCCACAAGCUAUCCAUUUGUAUGAGUCGUCUUUUCUUCCACUUUUGAUCUUUGAUGAUUGCCAUGUUCCAAUGUUUCUUCAAAUGCAAGCCAUUUUGUAUGCCUUAUCCAAUUCUCAUGUGUGAAUACCCUACAAAACAUUCCAAGGCAAUGUAUCAUGCUACAUCAAUCAUUCAUCAUACAUAUUAUCAUAACCAUAAACAAACAUCAAACAAGCCAUUAAUGCACAUUAUACAUCAUAGGAACAUGGCAUUCAACCCAAAGAGCUUGCACAUAUUCACUCAACAUUCAAAGCAAGCAAGCAUUAACAUGUUAAUAUCAGAAAUACAUACUAGCAACCUACUCAUUCAAACCAUGUUAACAUAACUCUGUACCAAAAAUUUCAUACCAACAUUAACAAUGCAUCCUUAUAGCUAACAUUGAAUAACCAUCAUUCACAAAAGGAAGUUCAUAUAGCAAACAGCAGGACAUUCAGGCAAACCAUCAGUUGCACAUUCAUUGCAUUCACCUAGCAGUCAUAGCAUGAUUUCACUCACAAAUGAAUCUAACAUCUCAAGACGGCAAUGUAGAGAUUUAUCAUCACUCACCCAACAACAUUACAUCAUCACACAAGUUCAUGACUAACAUCAAAUUAGCACAUUAGAAAUUUCCUACCAUCUAACUGCUAACCUUCUAAAAGAAAUACAUUCCAAACUUUCCAUCAUCAACAUAUUAACUUCAUCAGCAAUUCAUAUAACUGAAACACCUAACACCUAACAGAAAAAUCGAAACCAUCUUCACUUCCUAACUGAUUGCAGAACUAUCUAACAACAUUUUUCAGUUCAAGCUAACAUCCAUAACAGAAAAUCAAGACCUAAUCAUUCACUUAACAACUGAUAAUAGAAUUUCUCAACUAACCUAAUUGUUUCUCACAGUUACCUAUAACUAACAGAGUUAACAAACUCUCAACUAACUUUGCAUUAAUCAGAAUUAACAGAGUGAAAACUCUGUUAAUCAUCAUCCCUAUAAAAUCUCACCAUCACAUUCAUUCAUCAACUUCGGAUUCCACCAUCAAAAUCAUUCCUUACUCUCUCUCGAUCCAUUGAGCAUUCUCACUUUUGAAUCACAAAAAUCUCUCAAUCAACACCUUUACUCCCUCACUUUCUUCUUCAAUCAAUCUCUCCGAAGAACACAGACACAUCAAUAGAAUAAUAGUAGAAGAAGGAGAAGAUCUUGAAUUCAGAAGUGAGAAAGAGUAAGAGCAAGGAACGGUUACCUGUAAAUCUCAUCGUCGUCACCUUCGGAGUCUCCGACAGCGUAAGCUUUUUCUUUCACCUUCUUGCUUCAAAUUAGUCAUGGAGAUGUAGUUUGAAGGUUGAGGAAUCAAAUCCCCAACCCCUUGGGCUUUGAUUCCAUAAGAUGAUGAUUUAAUUUAGCUUUUCAUGACUAGGGUUCUUGAGACAAUACAAUUCAGUUAGGAGUUUAGGUUAUAAGUUGACUGAAAUCAUUGAUGAAUUUGAAUGGAGGGGUACGAAACAAGUUUAUUGGUGGUUGAAUUUCUUGGUUUGGCCCUUCGCCGCUGCCGGAGGCGACCUCCGACACGGUGGAGGGCGGUUACUUUAGGCAAGGUAGAUAGAGGUAUUCCUGAGCGCGUGUUUUUGAUUUUGAUUUGAACAUUUGAUCUGAAGCUACUCACUUCCCCCUCCCUGAUGUGUGUAAUUGGGCUUCUCACCAUAGGCCCAAGAUACCUCUCAUUAUUACACUUGAAUAUUACUAGGCAUACCCCCUGACUCCAAGCAAUAAACGUGUGGGCCUUGGUGCAAUGGGCAUGUGCCCUAAAUCCUUUUUUAGCUCUUACACCACCUGCCUUUUGUGUAUUUUUCCUUAUAUUUUCUCUGUUAUAUUUUUCUUUUGUCAAGAUUUUCUUUUCUUUUUAGUUGUUAAAAUGCAUUUUGACAUAAAAGAUUGAAAGAGUUGUCAUGAUUAGAACUUAGAUUUUUAAUUAGGUUUAAUUGAAUUUUUAAUCAUUUUGAAAUUGAGUAUUUAAUAUACUUUGAAAUAAUAUGGUUAAGCUAGAAUCUUGAUUAGGUUUUGAUCCAAAAUGAUAUAAUUUGAAUGUCAAUUGUAUGCUAAUUUUCAUUUAGUUUUGUGGUUAAUAUGCAGUUACUUUCCCAUUAGAGUUUAAUUCAUUUCUUGAUUGAAAAUCUCUUUGAUGCAUGAUUCCAUUUAGCUUUGUGUUUCAUUUUGAUGCAUGAUUAAUAUUAUACCUAGCCUCUAACUUACAUUCUUG
rnacentral:lncRNA from 1 species